rnacentral:lncRNA from 1 species
GCACAUUUCUUCUUUAUUUAGAGUUUAAUUUUGCAAUAAUGUUUAUGUAAUUUUUUAAGUAAGAUUGUAUAUACAACAACAGUAUCCAUCAAUAAGCUAAGCAUUAAACUUACAAUGAAAUUCUUUUAAAUAAUCACCAAUAUUCCUAGUUUCCCCUCAGCCCAUAUACAGUUUUGGAGAAAAAAAAUCAUAAACCUGUAUGUUUAUGUUGUAGCCCUUAACAUGGUUGUAAUUUUACAAUAUGUAUUCCUUUGAUUAAUAUAUGGCCCCCAACUGCAUUAUAAAUUCUCCAAAGCACAGGAAGUCAUCUUUGCUUAGUAGUUUUUCAUCAUUGUAUUCACAGUGCACAGUUGCCUGGCACACUGAGGGUGCUCAAUAAAAAUUCAUUCAAAGAAUCAUUGUAAUAGUAGCUUGUUUUUAUUAACUGAUUGUUAAUAUUUAGUAUUUUACAUGUGGGUUAAACUAUUAAUUGCUGGGUUCCUAGCCCUUCAGAAGCCAACUGUUUUGCUUUUGCCCUGAGUCUUUGCAUACAAAACACCAUCAAUAUCAAUGAGUUCAUGUCAAUGAUAGCAGUGGUCCCUUUAUUUUUACAGCAUUCUAGAAUAGUAGUGCUACCAGGCUAGGAAGGGGGACACACUACUCCAGCAUCUCUUGGAAGAUAAAAUAAGGAUGGGGAGGAGGGUAAACUGACCUGAAAGUAAACAAACAAAAAAGAGUUUGAGGGUUCUAAUUUUCAUAUGGCCCCCUUUAUCCUUCCAACUAGAUAAGUAUGUUGAAGUUAGUUAAACCCUAAAUCCCUCUGAUUUAGCCAAAGGAAUUAUUUAGUAUUUUGUGGUCCAACAGCUUCUUGACAGCUCAUCAAAAUUAAAACUGUCAAUUUCAUUUCUGGAUGGAAACAACUAAAAAAGAAUAUCUUAGGAGCAAUGCUUUUACUUUUUAUUUCAUAUUUUCUGCUGUCUGUCAAUCUUCUGAUCAUAAAAAUACAUUUUAUAUAAAAUAUUUUAUGCACAUAAAAUGUACACAUGCGUAUACACAUGUACAUAAAAGAUGUCAUGUUUAUGUCAGUAAGGGUUAUCUGGUGCUAUAGAAUUUUAGGCCAGGUUUUUGGAUUCCCACCCUGAUUUUUUAAUUUUUAUUUCUAUGUAUUUAAAUUAAAAACUUUUAAAGUUGUCUCUCUUUGUCUUCACUCCUCUCAUCUGCUUUCCAUUGUAACAAAUAGAUCCUACUGUUUUUCCUUCAAGACUUCCUAAAAUUCUACUCCCGUCAAUGCUGGGCAGCAUAUCUUCAAGAAACUCCUACCAUUCUUCUCCCUCUCUUCCUCCUCCCCUUCCCUUCCCUCUACCUUUGUUGAGCUGAUUGUGUAUAUCUGCUAAUGGACAAGCACUGGGAUCUUAAGUUACAUAAAUCAAGACACUUGUCUUCACAAAGCUUGUUUUUUUUUUUUUUUUUAAAUAUUUAUUUUUUAGUUUUCGGCGGACACAACAUCUUUGUUUGUAUGUGGUGCUGAGGAUCGAACUCGGGCCGCACGCAUGCCAGGCGAGCGCGCUACUGCUUGAGCCACAUCCCCAGCCCCACAAAGCUUGUUUUAAUGUCAGGUACAUAUAUCAUAGUCUCAAUGCAAAAGAAUGGAAGAUAAUGCACAGAUAAUGAUUUAAAGCUUUACAGGCUUUUGUUACUUCCAUUCUUGGGAGAUCAGGUAAGAAAGGAGUUUUGUAGAAAAUAAGGGAAAUGAGUAUUUUUAAGGAAAGUGAAUGAGCAGGUUGACAAUACAGUUAUAUAAUGGGAGAACAAAAGGUAGAGGAACAAAGAAAUGACCAUAUUGAGGGAUUUUCUUUCAUCUUCUCUCUGAUACUCUGCCCUGCUGAGUUUCCUUCCUAUAGCCUACCUGUAUAAGAAUGAUUAUGAUCACGUUACUGACUCUAACCCACCUAUCUUCCUUUCUUUUCAGGAACAAUUACAGAACUCUUCACAUUUCCAAAAGAAAGGACUGCAGCAGAUAUUUCUGCUCCAGAGAAUCAGGAAUAGAAACCACAAAGACCAUGGAAAUGUUGAGCGCCCUUGUGGCCAGUAAGCAAUCACCUCCAGGGUCUGACUUCCAGAAGGUGGGUAUGGUAUGGCUGCUUGGGGCAGGAAUGGGUUAUGGAGAAAGCUCUGUCAUUUUAUCUAUGGGGAAAUAGUGAGUUGGGUGAACAAAUAUGUAUAUAUCUGUGUCUUUGUAUCAGUAGAGGAGGAACAGGAAAAGAAUGGAUAUAGAGGGUAUGUAUUUUAGACUUGCUAUUAUGCACCCAUUUAGCAUUGAAUAAACGAUUAAACUUCCAUUUAGCAUUGAAUAAACUAUUUUUUUUUGAGAGAGAAUUUUAAUAUUUAUUUUUUGGUUUUCGGCAGACACAAAGUCUUCGUUUGUAUGUGGUGCUGAGGAUCGAACCCGGGCCGCACGCAUGCCAGGCGAGCGCGCUACCGCUUGAGCCACAUCCCCAGCCCUGAAUAAACUAUUAAACUUCCAUUUCAUUUAGUGCUAUAAUAUUUAUGUUAAAACUAUGGAUUUAAUGCCUUCCCAUUCUUUUUAGGCCCUAUGCCUCAAUGUCUCUGGAAAGUAGAACAUCUCUUAUUUUGGUUCUACCCUCCCUUAAUGGACAAUUCAAGAAUUAAGGUAAAAUUGGAUAUGACCUUAGAGGAAUAGGGUAUAAAUAAGCAAAGGAGAUUCAAGGAAGGGGAACAAUUACAGAGGAGAUGUUUGAAAAAAGUCCUGGAAUAUCAGACAGUUGUCUACCAGAUUCCAUACAGUCUUUUUUUUAGAUGUGUAGACCUUUAUUUUAUUCGUUUAUUUAAAUGUGGUGCUGAGAAUUGAACCCAGUGCCUCACACAUGCUAGGCAAGUGCUCUACCACUGAGCCACAGCCUCAGCCCCUCCAUACAGUCUUAUUACUUUUCCUACACACAUUGAAAUAUCUGGGCCAGUCACAUGGUGCACAUGUGUAAUCCCAGCAAUUUGGGAGGCUAAGGCAGGAGGAUUGCAAAUUCGAGGCCAGCCUUGGCAGGUGAGACCCUGUCUCAAAAAUAAGUAAAUAAACAAAUGAAUAAAUAAAGUGCUAGAGAUAUAGCUCAGUGGUAGACCACCCCUGUUUUCAUCCCCAGUACUGAAAAAACAAACAUCUGGUACACAGGAACAGGCAAGCAUCAUUCCAAAAUACCAGGGAAACUUCUUACUCUCUAUCUAAAAUGAUGGACAUUUUUUUACUCCCUUUUUGUGUUUGGAACUGUGGGCUCAAAGACACAGUGGAAAAGAGAACCAGAAUUCAGUAUGACUUAAUUGAAUUUUAACUCCUUUAAACUCAGAUUCAUUUCAUUUAAAUCUAAGCUGCCCCAAUUACAGAUUUACCCAGAAAAUUCUUAGUUUUGUUCCUGAUUUGCAAAUCCAAUCACUUUUAGGGUCCUAGAGAUCUAGUUUACUGCCUAAAUCUAUGUUCUUGGUAACUUGACACUACAGCUAUUUAAAACAACCAAACAUACAUACAAUGUAUAACCAAAAUCAUCAGUAGAAUAAAAAGGAAAGGGUAAAAAGUAUCUCAGGAGCUCUUGGUACUGAGAUUUUUAUUAGUUAAGGACUACUCAUUCCUAAGGCAUGACCCUGUAGAUGAAGCAAUGGAAAGCAGCCUGGUGCCAGGGCUGCCAACGCUUUGUCACCACCACUUUCUCUCCCUUGUUCCAGCCCAAGAUCUGUUUCUCACCGUCUAUCAUAUACCUCUUCCCAGGAACAAUCAAGAGUGUUGGGCACAAGCUUUCAUUCCACGCUCUACUCCAGCCCCUAUUUUUCUACUUAUAUCUCAAUUCUCUAGUAGUAUCUAAAGUCUAUAUCUAAAGUAUACUGAUCUGGGGAGUGGGUGGGGGGAAGAAAACAUUUUUUUAGUAGUGUUUUCCUCUUUGGACUUCCUUGAUAUGCAGGAGUUCACGUGUAUUAUGAAUGAUGAAGUAUUUUAAGAUUUUUAUUGAAAUAUGAUUCAUAUAACA